UGUAUCACAGCUGGAAUAGAACUUUAUACGUAACGAUUCGGUAUCUUCUGUCUAAAAUGGAUAUGUGUGAACGAUGAUUACGUAAGCCACUGUUCCAGCAUGGGCGCUCACGUGGUCAUUCCUGAUGAUGAUGACGAGAACAUAUUUAUACGAAACAUGAGUUCCGCACCAACAACAUUUGUGUGGAUCGGAAUUGAAAAAGAAGUUUCACUGAAUACAUUGUUGAGUUCCCAUGACAACAAAGCUGUCACCUACGUGCGGUGGAGAAAUGGAGAACCAAACGGUCACACGUAUGAAUUGUGCCUCAUCUGGAUUCACCUAGAACUAUCAUGGGAUGAUGCUCCAUGCCAUUAUACAGCUAUUGUAGCUUGUGAAAAGGAGUUGGGCAAUUGAAAUCGAUGUUCACUCGCUUUGCUGUUACUGCUUUUUUCUAUCUUUCACCGCGGAGGUUCCAUUACAUCAGUAGGCAUGUAGUGUCAUUUUUUGCGCAAACAGUAUAGGGAUAACACACG